rnacentral:rRNA from 1 species
GAUGAACGCUGGCGGCGUGCUUAACACAUGCAAGUCGAACGGAAAGGCCCAAGCUUGCUUGGGUACUCGAGUGGCGAACGGGUGAGUAACACGUGGGUGAUCUGCCCUGCACUUCGGGAUAAGCCUGGGAAACUGGGUCUAAUACCGGAUAGGACCACUUCUUGGAUGUUGUGGUGGAAAGUUUUUUCGGUGUGGGAUGAGCUCGCGGCCUAUCAGCUUGUUGGUGGGGUAAUGGCCUACCAAGGCGUCGACGGGUAGCCGGCCUGAGAGGGUGUACGGCCACAUUGGGAAUGAGAUACGGCCCAGACUCCUACGGGAGGCAGCAGUGGGGAAUAUUGCACAAUGGGCGCAAGCCUGAUGCAGCGACGCCGCGUGGGGGAUGACGGCCUUCGGGUUGUAAACUCCUUUCGCUAGGGACGAAGCGUUUUUGUGACGGUACCUGGAGAAGAAGCACCGGCUAACUACGUG